rnacentral:rRNA from 1 species
CCAAACUGUUGCCUCGGCGGGAUCUCUGCCCCGGGUGCGUCGCAGCCCCGGACCAAGGCGCCCGCCGGAGGACCAACCAAAACUCUUUUUGUAUACCCCCUCGCGGGUUUUUUUAUAAUCUGAGCCUUCUCGGCGCCUCUCGUAGGCGUUUCGAAAAUGAAUCAAAACUUUCAACAACGGAUCUCUUGGUUCUGGCAUCGAUGAAGAACGCAGCGAAAUGCGAUAAGUAAUGUGAAUUGCAGAAUUCAGUGAAUCAUCGAAUCUUUGAACGCACAUUGCGCCCGCCAGUAUUCUGGCGGGCAUGCCUGUCCGAGCGUCAUUUCAACCCUCGAACCCCUCCGGGGGGUCGGCGUUGGGGAUCGGCCCUGCCUUGGCGGUGGCCGUCUCCGAAAUACAGUGGCGGUCUCGCCGCAGCCUCUCCUGCGCAGUAGUUUGCACACUCGCAUCGGGAGCGCGGCGCGUCCACAGCCGUUAAACACCCAACUUCUGAAAUGUUGACCUCGGAUCAGGUAGGAAUACCCGCUGAACUUAAGCAUAUCAAUAAGCCGGAGGA